ACCUUCUGUGGUGUAGUUGGUAGCGCUUUGGCAUUGUAAUUAUAUGUCCCAGGUUCAAGUCCCGGUCGGGGUA